CACAAUAUUUCGACUUACCAUUUGGAAAAGGGUAAGUCGUUUUCCAAAUUUCUCGCGGCCCUUGCUCCACACAGAACUUUCUUACGUCCCUUGCUCCACACCGACGACUGUUUGGAAUCAUUCUCACCGGCGAGGCGGGCGGUCUUCUUCUCAGAAAUCAAAUAUCUGAAAGCUGAAAUUGUCUUCUUCGUGUUGCUAAAGGCUACCGGCGGUGCACCGAACAACCUUUCCAAGAGAUGGAACAUAAUUCUAUGCAUAAAACAAUAGUGGGAGUUGCUGCUUCAGCAUUGGCUUUUGGGGCUCUUUGGAUUCACAGAAUAAAAAUCUAAAAAGCAAAUAAGUCGUCAAUGUCAUGUGAAUUGAGAUGAUGAAAGAGAAAAUUACAUCAAUAAUAUUUUAUAUACAGGUGAUCAAAAUUGUAUCGACAUAAUACGAAUGCAACCACUUGCGUUCUUUAAUUUGUGUGACAUCCUUACUAGGAACAAUUUUUUUUUUAACAUAUAAUUGGUCAUAAUGUAAGAU